AAAUUUAAAAGUAAAUUCAAUAAUAGAUCCAUAUAAUCUAAACGUGUUAUCCUAAAAAGUAGUGUUGGAAAUAGUAGAUAGAACAAUUUUGGUGCAUAUUUCAUUUCCUCCAGAUUCAACUCAAAAGUUUGAUGUGGGCCUAUUAACUUGUCUAGUUUAAGUGAUGAUAUCUUUUGUCUUCUCUAUUGUCGUGAUUUUAAUGGUGAACCUGGUAAAGCCUCAACACUUUACAUAUCAAUAUAUCCUUGAAAAAACAGUCACCA
rnacentral:lncRNA from 1 species